CCUACGGGCGGCAGCAGUCGAGAAUCAUUCACAAUGGGGGAAACCCUGAUGGUGCGACGCCGCGUGGGGGAAUGAAGGUCUUCGGAUUGUAAACCCCUGUCAUGUGGGAGCAAAUUAAAAAGAUAGUACCACAAGAGGAAGAGACGGCUAACUCUGUGCCAGCAGCCGCGGUAAUACAGAGGUCUCAAGCGUUGUUCGGAAUCACUGGGCGUAACGCGUGCGUAGGCUGUUUCGUAAGUCGUGUGUGAAAGGCGCGGGCUCAACCCGCGGACGGCACAUGAUACUGCGAGACUAGAGUAAUGGAAGGGGAACCGGAAUUCUCGGUGUAGCAGUGAAAUGCGUAGAUAUCGAGAGGAACACUCGUGGCGAAGGCGGGUUCCUGGACAUUAACUGACGCUGAGGCACGAAGGCCAGGGGAGCGAAAGGGAUUAGAUACCCCGGUAGUC
rnacentral:rRNA from 1 species